AGGGCAUUUUUCAAUUCUUCUGUGUAAAAGAUAAUACAAGCUAUACGUCAUGGUUAAAAAAUUUAUGGUUUGAUUAGUUUCUGAAAAUUUCAUAUCUGGUAUUUCAUGUCACAAAUUCUGAUACUAUUGGAAAUUUGUGUCUCUGUAUUAUGCGAUUGGUAAAGGGGAUAUUUUUGGAUUAUAGACAUGUCAAUCCUCUUUCUGUUAUUGUUUAAGCAUCAUCGCCAUUGUGAAAUUUUGGCAUAUCUCAAUUUCAACUAAAUGGAGGUUCUUUUAUGUAAGAGCGGCAUCUUAUCUUUAAAAUAAUUAGAUGUUCUUGUUGUCAGCAAGCUUAUAUUAGAAACACCAAUAUAUAAGAUUUAAGUAAACUCUUUAAGUAGCCUUGUUAGCAUAUCUCAGACUAAUGCUAAUCUUUGAUGGUUACAGGAAAUUAUGUUAGUCAAAUCUUAAUAUCUUAUUGAGUUUCUUACCAAUUUCUGGUUUCCAUUGAAGGAUAAAGUUCUCCAACAACAGAAAACAAAGUCAACCACAGACUUGGAGGAGUUUGAAGGCAAAGGAAUAGUUUGGAAACAUUUUAUAUUAUUUUUUGGGCCAUUUAUAUAUACAAAGAAAAUGUAUUAUAAUGUAUAUUAGAAUACUUUAUGUUGUUUGAUUUUUUAGCAAUGAAAAGUUCUUAUAUAUUUCUAUUUCU